CAGCCGCCGCGGGAAUACGGAGGGUGCAAGCGUUAAUCGGAAUUACUGGGCGUAAAGCGUGCGUAGGCGGUUUGUUAAGUCUGUUGUGAAAUCCCCGGGCUCAACCUGGGAAUGGCAAUGGAUACUGGCAAGCUAGAGUGUGUCAGAGGAUGGUGGAAUUCCCGGUGUAGCGGUGAAAUGCGUAGAGAUCGGGAGGAACAUCAGUGGCGAAGGCGGCCAUCUGGGACAACACUGACGCUGAGGCACGAAAGCGUGGGGAGCAAACAGGAUUAGAUACCCCGGUAGUCCCUGUCUCUUAUAC
rnacentral:rRNA from 1 species